UUGCUUUCUUUGCUGGCGACCGGCGCACGGGUGAGUAACACGUAUCCAACCUACCCUUUACUCGGGGAUAGCCUUUCGAAAGAAAGAUUAAUACCCGAUGGCAUAAUGAUUCCGCAUGGUUUCAUUAUUAAAGGAUUCCGGUAAAGGAUGGGGAUGCGUUCCAUUAGGUUGUUGGUGAGGUAACGGCUCACCAAGCCUUCGAUGGAUAGGGGUUCUGAGAGGAAGGUCCCCCACAUUGGAACUGAGACACGGUCCAAACUCCUACGGGAGGCAGCAUG
rnacentral:rRNA from 1 species